rnacentral:rRNA from 1 species
UGGGGAAUAUUGGACAAUGGGGGAAACCCUGAUCCAGCAAUGCCGCGUGAGUGAAGAAGGCCUUAGGGUUGUAAAGCUCUUUCACCCGUGAAGAUGAUGACGGUAGCGGGAGAAGAAGCCCCGGCCAACUCCGUGCCAGCAGCCGCGGUAAUACGGAGGGGGCUAGCGUUGUUCGGAAUUACUGGGCGUAAAGCGCGCGUAGGCGGUCCGCAAAGUUAGGCGUGAAAGGCCUGGGCUUAACCCGGGAACUGCGUUUAAUACUGGCGGGCUAGAGUCCGGGAGAGGGUGGCGGAAUUCCCAGUGUAGAGGUGAAAUUCGUAGAUAUUGGGAAGAACACCGGUGGCGAAGGCGGCCACCUGGCCCGGUACUGACGCUGAGGUGCGAAAGCGUGGGGAGCAAACAGGAUUAGAUACCCGCGUAGUCC